UGAACAUUUUGCAAAAGAGGAAAGUAUGUUGGGUUUGGGAAAGAGACAAGCAAACAAUGAGAGUGGAUGGCAUGACCAUGGGCAGUCUUUCAGAAAGAGAGUGCCCAGACUUGCCAUUGUUUGUGAAAUAGUCUCCAAGCAAGAAGGGCCUGCAAUGGCCCAGCUGGGCUGGCCCUCCUUGUUCAGUCUCUGCCCUGCUGCCUGACACUACUGAUAGUGAAAGCUGGCUGAGCCCUGCUCUGCUGAUAGCGAUGUGAGGCACCAUUUAGCAGAAGUUUCCUGAUGCAGAGCUUUUAGAGAAUUCACGGACUUGCUCUGUCAUCUUCAUCAAAAGAUGUUUCCUUUUGCUGAGUCAGAAGAAGUAAAUUGGAUCUGGACCAGAAACUAAUGAUGGUAUUCCACUAACCAACCAAUACCUGUUCAUUGUGGAUCUCGCGCACUAACCCUGGGAUCUUUGACAGCAGUGCUGUUUCUUCCACAUGCUGUUUCUUCCACAUCAAUGGACCUUCAGCACCUACCACAGUGCCAGGCCACCAAGCCUGAAGUCCACUUAUGGAUGAGAUCAGCUCCAGCUCAAGAUCAAACUCUCUCCAGACGCAAGAUGGAAAAGUCCCAUUAGCCAAACCCUGGGCUGAGCUUCAAGAAACAACAAUCUGUUGUUGAUUCUUCUCUAUACUGGAAACAUAGAAAAUACAGAAGCUACCUAACCCCCAGGCCACCAAAAACCUAUGUUUAUUGCCAUCUGAUGCCAUCCUACCCUACAUGCACAGUGCCAGGGAAGGGGCAGCAAAAUAGCCUGGUGCCCCAACUCUGGGUCUUUUCUCCCUUGCUUUCAGAGCAGAACCCAUCUGAGUGAGAAUGAUUACCUUUUGUUGUUGUUGUUGUUAAGGUCAUACUGACUUAUAAUAUUGUGUAAAUUUCAGGUGUACAUUAUCAUAUUUCAGUUUCUGUAUAGACUGUAUGGUGCUCAUCACCAAUAGACUAGCUUUUGUCCAUCACCAUAUAUAUGUGCCCCUUUACCCCUAUCACCCCCCACCACUUGCUUCCCCUCUGGUAACCACUAACCUGUUCUCCUUAUCUAUGUGUGCAUUUAUUUGUUUAUCUUCCACAUAUGAGGGACUAGAUGUUUGUUUCAUUCUUAUCAAGGCUUGGGAAGAGGAUCGGGGGAAAGUCUCCUCAGAAAAAGAGUCUGAAAGAAGAAGUUGGCAGAAUUGCAAUAAACACAGGCAUUAAAAAAAUCUAACAGCAUGAAUCUGUUCACUAGCUGGAAAGAAAAUAUCUCAUAUAUUUAAGGCAGAGCAGCGAUGUUGUAUAAGUCGAGGGUGACGGGUAACUAUUCACUUCAUAGUCUAUGUGAAUGCUGCAGGGCACAAACUGUGUAACCAAACUUAGACAGCCCCAAUUCACGAUAUCUAAGUUAGAAAAGUUCCUGUAAUAAUUUCCACACAGAUGUGGCAGUUUUAGGCUAUGGAAACAUUUAAGUUGUGGAUUAUUCUGUAGAAAAUUCUUAGUGUACAUAGCAAAACCCAAAUUUCCCACAGAAUCAUACCCUAAAUUAUAACCAGGGGAACCUUGGAGGUUGUCUAGAUCACCCCCUUGAUUUGCAGAUGAGGACUGAAGGCCAGAGACAUAACGUGUCUUGCCCAAGGUCAGUAAGCCUCUACUGAAAAGGUGAAACAGACUUUCUCUGUUCCCCAUAGAUAGCCAAAAUAGGCCGCUUUGCUGUGAAUGGUAUUCAGCCUAAACAGAACCAAAAUUGAGUCUUAUUUGUCAGUAUCAUCAUUUAACAUUUAUUGAGCACCUUCUAAAUGCUAAGGCUUGAAAAUACAAAAAGAGUGCCUCCAAAUGACCCAGUCCAUGAGGCAACAGUAGGGCAGAGCUUUGCACCAAUCACACACAACCUUUGGUCCAGGAAAUGAGGACUUUUCUAGGAACAUUUCAAGGUGCAAAGGUAGUGUACUCUUUCUUGAGCCAUAAAAGGUUAUGGUCUAUUGAACAAAUCCUUAUUUAGGCUUUUUUUUUUUUCAAAUGUGUUUCAUCUCCGUUGAAGUUGACCAACUUCUUUGAAGCUGCUUUGGUUUAUUGGUUAAAUAUUUAUUCUUUAAUAUAUUUAAAAGCCAUAUUUACACAAUAUACUUGGAACCACUCUAGACUUUAGCAUAAUUAUUGCCUACUUAAAAUCAGGCUAUCCAAAGCAAGAAAAUCAAUGGCCAUUUACAGGGAAAAUGGGAAACUGGCAGGUUACUGAGGUUGGCCCUUAAUUUAAAUCUUAUUUUUAACACAGCCAUUCUACUUUUUCUAAUGGAAGUUUUAUGCGUGCUUGAAUUUGUGCUGUGAGACUGAGGUGGGAGGAUAAAGAAGCUCUUUUAUCAAAAACCAAUGAAACUUAACCACUUUAUGGACAAGCUCUUGCAAAUCUCUUACUGAAAUCAGACACGUUUGAGUUAGUUAUACAAGAGCAGGGCAGAAAGCACCUGCUGUCACGUCUGUUUCUCAUUUUGUACUCGUGUGACUCAGAUGCCCUGUGGAUUAAGUGAAAUGUGCUCCUGAGCUGCACUCGUGUAUACCACGUGCCAGCUCAGUUUGAAGGUGCAAACAGGAGCUCAGAAGGUGCCACUCAAUCACGUAGCUCUGGUUUUCCCCAACUGUAACGUGAACACGGGAGUCAUGUUAUGCAGGCCUGAGUCUCCAGCUUCGCUGUAAGCAAGAGAUACAGCAGAACUAUGUUUCCAUUUAAUGGUGCUCCCCCACACCCAAACCCCAUAUCAGUUCCCAUUUAAACUUCCACGAGGGAAGGUCAUGACAUGGAACGAGAAGUGCUGUAAAUCUUACACGUUGACAGUUGAUGACCUGUGCAUGAAUUUACAACUAUGUCCUGACACAGAAAAAGGAAGCCAACCAGAAUGCAUGAUCCAACAUCCCCAGGCAGCCAGCUACAGGUCACACUGUUUGUAACCUACAUAAAUGUAUGAAGGAGUCCACAGGUCUGGAGAAAUUGCAUUAGGGUAAAAUUAGUAUUCAGCUCUUAUGUUAAGACCCCAAAUCAAAUUCUUUCUUUUUUAACCCAAAGAGGGCUCUUUUAAAUAUUAGCACUAACAAGGAAUUCUGGAACUUGCCUCUUUGAUCACAUUUUAGAAUAUUAGCUCCUUGUCGGCCUCUUCAUUUGUCCUAUUCAUUCAACAAAUAUUUGGUGAGUCCCUACUGUGUGCUCUCAAGCAUCAAUAGUUAUAAAACAGCAAGAACUCUGCUGUCAUGGAGUUUCCUUUCUAGAUGGAGAAGGGGAGAAAUUGGCUUUGAACUAGCUUAGUGAAGGCGUGUUCCAGUUAAAGUCAAGUUUCCAUGUGGCAUUCCAGAUUUACACAGGAUAAAUUGGGAUGUGAUAAUUUGCUUCAAAAAAAGAUUCAAUAUUUUACCAAAAAAAAAAAAUCACAUAAGGAUUCCCUUUAAAUCUGAAACUCCCAUAGCACCCCCACCCGAGUCAUUUUAUUGAUUCUGGAUUUUUGAAGACUCCACUAAGUGUUAGAGUGUCCGUGCACUGUUCUGGAGCAUCCCCUAAUCACCACCAUGGGUAGACAGUCACUUCCACUGCAUAGAAGAAGUGCCCCAAGAAAGCAUCACUUAUUCUAGAGUAAAAAUACAACCCACUCUGAAAAGAACACUCACAAAGGCUACAGACAGGCCUAGGGAGGAAAAGUCUUAGGAACUCCAGUCCUGGUGUCUUCUCUGGAGCCUCUCUGCACCCUCUUCUUUUAACAACUAGGUCAACGGCAAAAGAAGUCUGGAGUCGAGGGGGAUUGUCUUUUCAGUUUCUCUGGAUUUUUCUCAUUGACAUGAAUGAGGGUAAUAUGGAGAAAAACAAGCCCAACUAAUACAGUUUAAAAAAUGAACCUGCUGAGAUGAAGACAUCAUUUUUCUCUCCUGACACUUUCAACCACUUAGAUAUUUAAUUAUCUGUCACCAGAAUCUCUCCUUGUGAGCACAAGCAAUUUCACCCAUUAGCAAUUAGUGAGAACAGUUCCUCCACUGAGCUUUUGUGUGAGAAAAUAAAUAGGCAGCUGCCACAUACAAAC